rnacentral:rRNA from 1 species
ACGUACAUCCUGCGGGAGGCAGCAGUGGGGAAUAUUGGACAAUGGGCGCAAGCCUGAUCCAGCCAUGCCGCGUGAGUGAUGAAGGCCCUAGGGUUGUAAAGCUCUUUCACCGGUGAAGAUAAUGACGGUAACCGGAGAAGAAGCCCCGGCUAACUUCGUGCCAGCAGCCGCGGUAAUACGAAGGGGGCUAGCGUUGUUCGGAUUUACUGGGCGUAAAGCGCACGUAGGCGGACUAUUAAGUCAGGGGUGAAAUCCCGGGGCUCAACCCCGGAACUGCCUUUGAUACUGGUAGUCUUGAGUUCGAGAGAGGUGAGUGGAAUUCCGAGUGUAGAGGUGAAAUUCGUAGAUAUUCGGAGGAACACCAGUGGCGAAGGCGGCUCACUGGCUCGAUACUGACGCUGAGGUGCGAAAGCGUGGGGAGCAAACAGGAUUAGAAACCCGUGUAGUCCC